CUGACUCUAACCAUGGAAUGGAGCUGGGUCUUUCUCUUCCUGCUGUCAGUAGCUGCAGGUGUCCACUCCCAAGUUAAUCUGCAGCAGUCUGGGGCUGAGUUGGUAAAGCCUGGUGCUUCAGUGAAGUUGUCCUGCAAGACUUCUGGUUACACCUUCAGCACUAGCUAUAUGAGUUGGUUCAAGCAGAUUCCUGUACAGAGUAUUGAGUGGAUUGGACUGAUUUAUGCUGGAGAUGGUGGUACUAGCUAUAAUCAGAAGUUCAAGGGCAAGGCCGCACUUACUGUAGACACAUCUUCCAGCACAGCGUACAUGGAUCUCAGCAGCCUGACAUCUGAGGACUCUGCAGUCUAUUUUUGUGCAAGGCACAGUGUUGUAACCACAUCCUGA